AUUGAACGCUGGCGGCAGGCCUAACACAUGCAAGUCGAACGAGUGGCGGACGGGUGAGUAAUGUCUGGGAAACUGCCUGAUGGAGGGGGAUAACUACUAGAAACGGUAGCUAAUACCGCAUACCAUCGGAUGUGCCCAUAUGGGAUUAGCUAGGAGGUGGGGUAAAGGCUCACGUAGGCGACGAUCCCUAGCUUGUCUGAGAGGAUGAACAGCCACACUGGAACGGAGACAGGGCCCAGACUCCUACGGGAGGCAGCAGUGGGGAAUAUUGCACAAUGGGCGCAAGCCUGAUGCAGCCAUGCCGCGUGUAUGAAGAAGGCCUUCGGGUUGUAAAGUACUUUCAGUGGGGAGGCGUUACCCGCAGAAGAAGCACCGGCUAACUCCGUGCCAGCAGCCGCGGUAAUAC
rnacentral:rRNA from 1 species